UGACGGUACCCUACUAGAAAGGAGCCGCUAACUUCGUGCCAGAAGCGUCGGUAAUACGGGGGCUCCAAGCGUUAUCCGGUGUUAUUGAGCGUAAAGAGUCGUGUAGGUGGUUGGGUAAGUUAUCUUUCAAAUAUCUUUGCUUAACAAAGAGGAGGGGGAUAAUACUGCUCGACUAGAAUUUUCUCAAGGGAGAUCGGAACUGAGGGAGGAGUAGUGAAAUGCGUUGAUACCCUCGGGAACACCAGUGGCGUAGGCGGAUCUCUGGGAGAAGAUUGACACUGAGACACGAAAGCUAGGGGAGCGAAGCAGAUUAGAGACCUGCGUAGUCCUAGCCGUAAACGCAUGCUUGCUAGCUGCAUGAAUCUACCUUCGGGUGGUAUCGUGUGGCGAAGGUAACCCGUUAAGCAAGCCGCCUGGAAAGUACGGCCGCAAGGCUGAAAUUCAAAGGAAUUGGCGGGGAGGCACACAACCAGUGGAACAUGUGGUUUAAUUCGAGACUAACCGAAGAACCUCACCAGGGUUUGACAUGUAGCUGCACGUCUUAAGAAAUUAAGACUCUCUUGAAGGUGCUACACAGGUGCUGCAUGGCUGUCGUCAGCUCGUUCCGUGAGGAGUGCCCUUAAGUGGGACAACGAGCGCAACCCCUAUUACAUGUUAGAAAUGUCAUGUAAGACUGCCUUGCCAUUUGGCGGGGAGGAAGGAGGGGCAGACGUCAAGUCCGCAUGGUCCUUAUGCCCUGGGCUACACACAUGUUACAAUGAGUACGGCAAUGAGUCUGUCGCGAGCACGUAAGUGUAAGCUAAUCUCUUAAAUGUACUCUCAGUGGGGAUUGAGGUCUGCAACUCGACCUCAUGAACACGGAAUUGGUAGUAAUCGCGGGUCAGCUAUACCGCGGUGAAUACGUUCUUGCCUCUUGCACACACCGCCCGUCAAACCAGCAAAGUCGAUUGUAUCCGAACCU
rnacentral:rRNA from 1 species